rnacentral:lncRNA from 1 species
CCAUGGUGAGUGCUUGGCAGAGCAGGCGGAGGUCCCGCUGUUCGCUGGUUUGCAGGCGGGCUCUGCUGUGAGUGCAGCACGGAGGCUCUGGGGGGCAGCGGCCGCCCGGGCUUCGGCACGUGGGAAGUGACUCCGCGGCCCAGGCAACCAUCACAGGUUUGUGACCAUGGAUGCCGUAGACCAAGGUGCAGAAGGUGACCAUCUGAGCUUGAAAGGGACGGACCUCUGUCACGCUGCACAGGAAAAGCUGAGCCUUCGCGGUUUCAUACACUCUUCUGGCAGCUGCAGAGAUGAACGUCUCUCAGGUCACCUAUCAGCUGCAAAGAGGCCUGGUCCCAGGAGACACACUGUGGAGCCGGCCCUGGGAUGUCACAGAAGGCAAAUCAUCUGCAGCUUGGCAUGCAUCAGAGGACAAGUCUGGAAACUGCAGAGGCAGGGCACAGACCUGAGACUGGUUCACUGA